AGAAAGUAGAAGGAGCUCCAAAGGCAGUGAGCGUCUUUCCUUGGGCUGCGUGUGCCGAGCGUAGACAAUGAAAAUCUUCAUCCCCCUCCCCCAUUCUACUAGGCUACAAGAUUCUUGUUUUCGUUCCUUCUCACCGGUGGAAGAUGUGUAAAAUCAAAGAUGUAGAGGUGUGUAGUGAUUUUUUUAAAAGCCAACUAACCACCGCACGGACUGCGACGCGGAUUACCCGAGCGCACGCCGGCUGGGCGCAUUCUGGGGUCUCUGCGCAAGACCAGCUCUCAGCUCUCUCUCCUUUCCUCGGACUCUGGAGCGGGAGCGGGCCUUUCCCUCGGGUCGACCACGCCGUAGGGGACGCCGUGAAAAGAGCCGUCGCGCCCGCUGCCUCCUGCCCGCUGCGCAGAGGGCUCCGCCCGUAGAGGUCAACUUCCCUCACCCUUUUCUCUCUCCUGCUUGCCCUCCCUCCGCCCGGCCCAGGCGCUUCCAGCCCCAGACUGUGGCCACUGGCUGAGGAGUGCGAGUCGGCUGCGCUGCCCUGAGCCUAAUCCCUCUUCCGGGCCCAGACCCGAGGUCCGCGCUCCUGGGCAGUGGGGAAGCUUUAGUGAGCAGGCUUUUCUCUCCGCAGCAAACUUGUAGCCAGACCAGAUGGGCCGCCCAGCUCUCUCGGGACUAGGCAGGUGCGGAUGAGUUAAUUUUUCCGCAUUACAAAGAAAGAUGACCCAGCCCGCCCUUGGACUCUCUUUUCCCAAAAUCUCCCAACCAAACCCGCGGUAACGUUAUCAAAGGACACAGAGCCCAGGCAUAUCUGUGUGUUUAUCUUACAGGCACACACGCAUGGUUUUCUCUUUUAUAUGCUAGAUUUCAUCCCUGACAGCAGAAAAUGAUUGGCAAUGGUUAUGACGGAGAACAUGCAAUAGCGUGGUCCUUAAAAACCUGCCAUUCCUUACAAGUGCCUUAGAAAGGAUUCAGGGCGAACCAACUGGGUUAAUUGCAUUCAGUAAAAUAACACGAUUACAAAAUUAGAUCUGUACCAGAGGGGUAAUUAACUUGGAUCCACGCCGUCAUUUGAAAACUAGAUUUAUAGGCUUAUGUAUGUUUUUAGGCGUGUGCUGUAAAUGGCAUGGAGAUAUAUGCAUAUGUAUACGCAGGCACACGCACCGUCUACACUUCCACGGAACAGACUAAUUAACAGCGGCUCUGGCAGAUGUGUCAGAGAUGAGCAGAGACAGGAGCUGGGCUUAUGAGUUAUGACUCUAGGGGUAGAGACUCAGAGCGGAGAGAGGGGGAUGGGCAGGGAGAGAAGAGUGGUAAUCGCAGUGGGUCUUAUACUUUCCGGAUCAAGAUUAGAGGCUCUGCUCUCCGUGUUCACAGCGGACCUUGAUUUAAUGUCAUACAAUUAAGGCACGCGGUGAAUGCCAAGAGCGGAGCCUACGGCUGCACUUGAAGGACACCAAAGCAUCUCAGGGUCAGAAAGGGGAAAAAGCAAUUGCAGGGAAUUUAGGGGGUAGUAAAAGGAACCCAUCUCUUGCCGCAUAAAUGCCCCCCACCCCCACCCAGGACUGAUUCUGGAAGCAACCUAGUGUUCGAAAGGGAAAGGCUCCUACUUUUCCAUUACAGCCGCGGAAAUCCGCAGGCAAAUCUCCGAGGAGAAUUUUAGGGAAGCUUCAUUGACAGCUGUCUGGAGAGCAGUAGUUCCCGCCUGUGCAAAUAUUCCAGAGAGUUAAAUCAUUUAGAAAGCACUAGUUCUUUCAAGAACAGGUAGUGUGAUUGUCUGCAGUCCUGGGCCAAGCUGGGAAAACAAAACAGCAGAGAGAGGUGUAACAUUAAAUAGCGUCCUGACCACACUGCGCAAGAAACAGCAAAUGAAACGUCCAAACUUUGGAAAGAUCUGAAGAACACUUGCCGCCCGCAUUUCCCCUUGACUUCUCCCUUUUUCUUCCCAAUCUCGAGGCGUUCAUGCCUGGCUUUAAGACGCCAAGAUAACUCUCUUGUUUUGGCAUUGUCGCAAUGUCCAAAUCGGUCAAAGGAGUGGGAUAAGGUGAAAGGACCAGGUCAGAAACUUUAGAAGGACUCGGUAAAUUAAUUUGUUUGGAAGCCAGUGAGGUGGACUAUGUUGAGGUAGCAGUUCCGCACCACGACUUUGGAGCCAAAGAAAAACCCAGGCCGAAAAAGCGAGCCUUGAUGUCUUUGUUCUGCCUUGGCCUGCAGGGGUUGGGAACAAAGGAGAGGAGCUAAGAGGAUGCACCAAAGUAGCCGCGCCCUCCCUGCCUGGCGCUGUCCGCGGUGCUGACCGUGGCCCUUUUCUCUCUCCGUAAUCAAACUGGAAAAGCAAUAGGACCGUCCCGUCCCUACUCAAAAGAAGAGUAGGAUAUUAGGUAAUUUGAAAAAUAACAUUUAAAAAGAGAAAAAGGUCACAUACAGCAAAACAAUAUUUUACUGAAAUCGUUCCCUCAAGCUGGUUGCUACCCUUGCCUGACACUUUUUGGUCUUCACGUAGGAAUGCACACAUACAUACAUUGUAAGUGUAUGGGGAAACCAUUUCCACUUUAUUUAGGCUGAAACCUAAAUCGCAGGAUUGCAAGAAGGAAAUUGAGGAGAAUGAAGGCUUUAUUAUUAUCCUUUUCUUUCUUAAAUCAUCUUCCUUAAAACAGAAACAUAAGGUCCUCAGCCGCGGAUUUUAGUGCUUACUUGGUCACCAAAGGGACGUGCAAUGGACUCAAGUGUGGGCCUCGAGGCUUAACUAGGAAGGGGUGGGUCGGGGACCCACCAGGUGAAACAGGGCAGGAGCCCAUGCAGCUUGCCACCUUCGGCCAGGCCUUGCAGCCCGGCAGCCUUAGUAGACGGGUACAGAGGGCUGAGCUCUGCAGACCGCUCUGCUGCGCAGGAGCCUGCUCGGCGCAUCCCAGCCGGCGGGAGGCACUGGAGGGCCAGGAGGCCUGAAACCCGCACUGCGGAAAAACCGACCUCAGCCACAUCCUCAUAGCUCACGCGACGGAAAGAGGCAGGGCGGUUUACUAAAUCUUAUGCAGUGAAAAUUCGCCUUAGAAAUCGAAGGUUGGAUGAGUCAGUAUUGAUAUAUUCAAAAAUCUAAAUUUCUUAGCAUAUUUCAUCGUUCUUAGAUGUUGAAAGUAUUAAAUGUAAACAAUACAAAUUUAAAUUCCCUAAGUAAUGAAUCAAAAUGGCAAGGGAGAGAGAGAGAGAGAGAGACGGAAAAUCAACCAAUUCGUAGCCACCCUGGCUGGCUAUUUCUCAAAAGAAAUUUCUAUGCAUUUGCUUGAGUUUGUCUAUAAAUUCACAAACAUAAAGGGUGUUAAAAUUAGUAACAGACAAAAUAAUUCAGGUUGGACAAUAGAGACAGCAACACCGAUUUUGAUCCAGGUAUAACAAUGGGCCAUGCAUUGACAAUGACCUAAAAGACAUGUGUUCAUUAAGUUAUUUUUUUUACACGGGAUGUAGAUGUAUCAUAAAAUUCAUGAAAUAAAGCGGCCAGGUGCAAUAUCCUCAGAGAGCUGCCUUCUCACCCCCUGCCUCAGGGCGGAUUUUAUCUGUCCUCGAAUUUUAGAACUCUGCAAGUCGGGUCUUUCACAUUCAUCGAUUACUUUGGUUUAUAUUUAAUUUUAUCCAAUUUCGGAGUGGGUGGGUAAAGCACACUGGAAAAUAGGGGCUGCUCGAAUUACAAAAUUUAAGGAUUGGGAAUAUUCCUCUUGUGCCAAUUAAAAGCAGUCGUUGGAAGCAGAAAUGAAUUUAAAGCAUUACACGUUAUCAUGGCGGCCUUGCUUUUUCCUUCCAGUAUUCAUCCAAUUGCGCUGAUCUCCUGCAUCCACAUCUUGCGUAAUCCACAAAGCAGCUAUGGUCCAGGGCUGCAAAAUCGUCCUGCCUGAUUCCUUUAGAAUUCAUACUACCUCAGAGGAGCAAACCUAAUCCCCUCAGCCUAAUCCUACCUGUUUAGGAUCAUCUAAACUUGUCCUUCAGAAAGCUUGAUCAGUUUAAAAUUGCUUUCUAAAUAGAAAUGAAAUACGUGAUAUGAGAGAGGUUAAAAUACUGCUUAAAAAGGGAAACACUCAAUUUAGUAAUUCGGUUGCCUAGAUGAAAUCGAGUGGCUAUUGAUCCGUGAUGUUUCUAGAUUUUUAAGACUAUGUACUUCCUAUUUCUUUGGAAAAUAAUCAUCCAGUUUGAUGCCCAUUACAAAUUUUCCUGCUAUGAAAGAAAUUCUAUGCGCGGCAGUUUUGCAAUAAAACAACCCGGGCUUCGCAAUGGGAGAACUUCGGUGCGGCGUGCCGUGAGAGUCCUUUGACAAUCUCAGCUUUCAUCUAGGUCUGAAAUUAAAGCUUCUCGGAAUAAUUUAGGAACAGCUUGACCCGUUGAGAUACUCAAGGACAACCCUCCAGGGAAAUAGUAUGUUUCCUUCCUGGGAACAAGAUGCUAGCGCGGUGCACCGGGAGGUAUCUGGUGUCAACAAUGCCAGAGCGCCCUCUGCUGCCUCAAAGAGGCAGGACACCAGUUACAAAAGCCAGAUGGCACAGUGGCAAUAAGCGGAGGAAACAUUAAGCUCUUAGAAACGUUUAAUCUGUGAAAUUUAAAAGCUCUCAUCAUAUUCUACUUUUGAAAGGGCCACCUGAUUUUGAUUUUGAGCACUCCUUGGAUGUUAUCUUCUAUUCUGGAGGAUAAUGAAAAGUCCGUGUUUUGAAGUUUUCAGAUUAUUUCUGUAGUUAUAUUUCUCCACUCUUUCUCGAAUUUUAUAUGGAAAUACGAAAUUGCAAAUCUAAGUGAAAAACCUUUGUGUAAAACAGGUGAGUGGAGAAGACGUCCUGGUUUCUCCAAAUAACUAAGAUCUAAUAAAGAAACAAAUCUUAAUUAAAAUAAAGAUACCGAGCACAUGUUGUUGUGUUAGUUUAAAACGAUAAUAAAAAGAAAGAAAUUAAGUCUCGAUGUAAAUCAUUGUUUUGUUGUUUUGUUUCAGUGAUUAACCCAAAUUUUGACCAGACUUGAAGUUUUGAAAUAAGAAAGUGAAUUAUUUUAAAGAAGAAGAAAAAUUUGCUUCUUAUUAAUAUGUACAAUAUUUUUGCCCUUAAAACCUUUGCAAUACAUUUAUACACACACACUCAGCUUGCAAAGCCUUCUUUAGAAAAUAACCCACUCUGAGUAGAAGUAAUGAGAUAUGGUAGCAGCAUGGGCAAAGCCAUAAGAAACGUUAUUUGCAUUAAAAAUGAGUUUUUCAGUAUGGAAAAUCAAUUACCAAAUGAAAUAGAGAUUUUUUUUAAAGGUUCAAACCUUUUCAAAUUUUUAUGUUAUAGGGUUUAUAUUGAUUAAAAUAAAUGUACGUUUGUAGUUAUUCAACAUUAUGAAUUUCAAGAUGGCCACCUAUUUUGAAACGCACACCUUUGCCAUGAAGUCUGUUGUUGCAUAUAUUAGUGCUGAUGUAAUAAAAUGCUUCUAUUAACUAUGUGGUUGUUAAUAAAUCUUGUAAAAAUAAAGUUCUGUUUAUUUUAUGGUGUCAGAACAAAAUAGCUGUUUAAAAUCACUUAUUUUAGUCUUAGCUUUUAAAUCAAAAUGCCUAUAAGAAUAUUAAGUUCUAAGAUUGUUGAGAAUACUAAGAUAAAAUUAAAAAUUGUAUGAUUUUACAAUUUGCUAUAAUUUAAAAAUCUUGUAUUGAUUAAAUGUUAAAUCAGGUUAAAUAUUUGACCAAUUGUGUCAAGUUCCGUAUAAAUAUGGGUACAUUUGUCUUCUGAAAGCUAUUUCUCCAAAGAAUGCACUUACGAAUGUAUGGCAUAAUAAGUGAAAAAAUGGUAGAACUUUUAUGUUUUUAUUUUAAGUAUCCUUUUAAAAAUUAAAAAUAUUUUUUUUCUUUUACUUAAUUUAAAUUUCUUCCUAAAUAAGUGCAUAUUUUACCCAGGAGAAAAUAAACAGAGUGACAUAAAUUUGCUAUACUUCUUAUAGUUACUAUAAUCAGUUAAAAAACAACUUCUAGGCAAAUAAAAUAUAUAAUAAAAUGUAAAUUAAAAUGUAAAUAAAAUGCAACAAAUUCGUGGGUGGAAGACAUGAACAUGACUUUUUUCUAUUUUAAAAACCAUUUGAUGUAUUCUAAAAAAAGAAAAAGAAAAGAAAAACAGAAGAGAACCAACUAAAAGAGCUUCCCAGAUGUCCAAUAGAUGCUGCCCGAAGUAAAACGCAUACUCUAAUAUUUGUUAUUCAAAUUUGCAUGUAAGGGUUUUUAACCUCCCUUUAUUUUAUACUUGUACAGGGUAACGUAUUGUAACUGAAACACUCCUCCUAAUUUAUUCUGGCUGUGAAAAGCCUAUGGAAACAUUCACUUCCAUAGGAGUAAUAUGUAUCUAAACAGUAUAUUUAGGGAAAGCACUAAUAGAACACAAACAACUAAUUACUGAUGCUUUUAAGGAGGAACCGCAACAAUAAUUGUGCACUGUCUUAGAUAAAAUUAAUAUAGAAUUUAAUAUUUGUAGACCACAAAAAAGCCCUAAUCGUGGACCGCAGAUUAGAAAGAACAGGCUUUAGCACACUGUGUAUCUUUGUAGUAUUCAGACUCAGCUGCCACUGCGAUUUCCAUCAGCUGCUGUUAAGUAAAUAAUAUACUAUGGAAAUAUGACUGAGUAGGAAUUGAAAAUAAAAUGCUUUAAGAAGGAAUAAAAUUGGGAUGUCAAGAAAUCAAAGUUGAUUGUCUUUAAGAUAGAAGGUUAGUAGUUACAAACUGCAGCGAAAAUAUAUACAUUGAUGAGCAAAUCUCCACGAAGUAAAAAGUUCAGAUGUUGGAUACUACCAAGGCAAAAUAGAGUGAAAUAGGAAGAAAUUAAGUCUUUGAGACACAUGUAGAAAGAACAAAGAAGCCUCUUGACUUCAAUUUUGUUUUUAAAAUUCCAGUAGAAGAUGUUUAUGCAGAGAAACCUUAAGGAAUUCUUCAUUGUCAUGUCACAAUUUUGAUCUUGUUGAAUUAAGAAAGACAGGGAAAAGUUGAAAAACAAAUAAGCAAAAUGUGAAUUUACUAUUGAACUCUUAUGGGUUUGUAAUGCAGAAUUGUGUUUUUCCUUUCCUACUUGUUGGUCAGGUUCUUUUUAAUCAUAAGAAGGAAAAUAUUUAAAAUAUAAUUUUAUACAUGGUACAAUUGUCUCCCCUUAGCCUUGGCUCGCUUUCUGUGGUUUUAGUUACCCGCGGUCAACUGUGGUCUGAAAAUAUUAAAUGGAAAAUUCCAGAAAUAGACUAUUCAUAAGUUUUAAAGUUUGUGCUGCUUUGAGCAGCAUAAUAAAAUCUUGCACCACCCCACUUCAUCCCACCCAGGAUGUGAAUCAUCCUUUGUCCAGCAUCUCCAUGCUAUAUGUAGCUACCCCUUAGUCACUUAGUAACCAUCUUGAUGAUCACAUCUACUGUUGCAGUAAUAUCACACAGCAUCACUUAUGUUCAAGCAACACUUGUUUUGCUUAAAAUGACUGCAGAGUUCAAAAGUAGUGAUGUUGGGAAUUCAGAUAUGCCAAAGACAAGCCAUAGGUACAUCCUUUAAGAGAAAAGGCGAAAGUUCUCAAAUUAAUAAGGAAAGAAAAAAUAUUGCAUACUGAGGUUGCUAAGAUCUAGUGUAAGAAUGGAUCAUCUAUUAAUGAAUUUGAAAAGAAUGAAAGGUAAAUUUAGGCUAGUUUUGUUGUCACACUUCAAACUGUAAAAGUUACAGCCACGGUGCAUAAGUGCUACUUAAAAUGCAAAAGGCACUAAAUUUGCUGUUGGAAGACAUGAACAGAAACGUGUUCCGAUUGACGACAAUCAGAUUCAGUGUUAUCUGCAGUUUCAGGCAUCCACUAGGGCUCAUGGAAUGCAUCCUCUGCAGAGAAGUGGGGACUACUGUCUUAAUAAUAGAAUGAAUAUAACAUAGCUUAUGCUGGGCAAAAUAUCUUUCUUCUGUUAAUUUGUUUGAACAAAAAACAGUGACAAAUGAAACAGAAACUUGGUUUAGGAGAGUGUUUCUUACUGAUUUGAAUGUUCUAAGUAGUAGUGACAAUGUACUUACAUUGGCAGGAUUCUUAACUUGAACUCAGUCACAAUGCUUCUCAGGAAUUCCCUAUACUCGUGUUAACUGUGAAGAGUGGGAGUUCCAGGCCAAAACGAUAAGGACUAUGUACCUCAGGCAAGGUCAAUUUAAAGGUUACAAAGUUUGGGUUGCUAUGAAAACAUUAAAUAGAGAAAGGUGUUCCCUUGCCGAGAGCUAUGUAGUGCCAGUUUUCCAAAUCAGAGGAACUUCUCUCUUCCCUGGACAUCCUUGACCUGACUCUACUCUCUCGAUUCCCAGAAUUCGGGUAUAGUAGUUAUGUUGUUUUCAUUGUCCUGAUGAUAUCAGAUAAGUAGAUUGGUUACAAGAACUCCAAGGAUGCAUUCUUCAAUAUGUGAUUUUACAACCUGGUAUAUUUAAAGAAAGGGGCUUUGAUUCAAUGACAGGGUUAUUUUUACCUAGCUUUUCAACUCAGAAAGCACAGAUACUUAUAAAUGCCCACUAAGCAUCAGGAAGUUGUGUUAGUUGGAUGAGAGAAUGAGGGGUGUGGUGUAUGUGUAUAUAAAUACAUGUAUAUGGAAAGGAAUAUCUAUAUUAGACAUCACAGUUAACAUUUAAAACAUGGUUGUGAAAAAAAAUAAAACCAACAGUAGCUAUGGCUUGGACUUACCUCUUUUGCAGUUAUCUUCCUAUUAUUAGAUAAUCUACUUGGUAAAAUUGCAUGGUACAAGAGGAUUAUUAAUAAAUAAUCAUUAAAAAUGGCUAGUUCAUUCAGACUAUUCUCCAUACUCCUGCUGUUGUUAUUGCAAUAACUUUCCAAAUUUUCUAAAUCCAUGAAUACCCUUUCAAUGAAUAUAAUUUUUCUACAUUAUCUUCCUACCUCUCUCUCUCUCUGCUUUUAUCUUAAUUGAUAAUGAAACCCAGUAAGGUAAGUGAUUAUUUAGACCAAUAACAUUGAACAAAUCAAUCAUUCCUAAAUGUAGGACCCAAACUUAUAUCACAGAAUUGUGUGUGUGUGUGUGUGUGUGUGUGUGUGUGUAUGGACUUGAAUUGAUUUUUAUUUUAACCUCCACUUCUUUUCGUAGUAAACAACUUCUCUCAGAUUUCCAAAGAUAAAAACAUAGAUUCAUUCAUUCAUUUAUUCACUGUUUGAGUGCUUAGUAGGUGCCAGGCUCUGUUCUUUGUGUUAAAUAUUCAAAGGUGAAUGAAAUUCAUGCGAUUUCUAUUCUUAUGGAGCUUAUGCUUUCUCAGUGUUAAAUUUUCUAUUCUCCUGAACUUACUUUCUAUAAUUCAUGUCUUUUUAUCUUUAAGUGCUUCCAUGUCACUAAUGAGAGUUUUCCUCAUGAGAAGAACAGAUUUGUAUUUUGCUAUUCUGGGAUAAACAAGACCAAUAUAUUUACAUUUUUCUUACAGAUGCACAUCCUUAUCUAUUUGGAAACAAUGAAUGCUUUUUGCUAUUCUCUUUCAAAUUUAAAGAUCAAUUGAGUAAAAUAUUAAUAUAUGCUGAUGUAAUGUUGACUGUAAAGUAUUAGCUCCUGUCUCAAUUGUGGUUUAUUAGUCAUGCUUGAAUUUUGUGUUUAUUGAUUAUAAAUAUUUACUUUUAUUUUGUCAUAGAUUUUGAUUUCAAAUGUAAUUUUUGCAACAUAAAUGCCCAUUCAAACUCUGUAAUUUGGUCCUUAUCCUUAAUUUAUACAUUCUAAUAAGCCGUAGCUUUGUCCCUGUGAUUUUUUUUCUGUUUGUUUACUUUCUUUUAUUUUAAUGAGUGAUUUUUUCCAAUUAUCAAGAUUCUUUUCAACUUACCAUCAUAUUUUUCUAUAGGACCUGAAAUUUUCUUUUCAAUUUACCAUUGUAUUUCUCUAUAGGACCUGAAAUUUAACUAACUUAGAUCAAUGAAAUCAUCAACUGGUUUUAUUGGAUUGAUUAGUUGUACACAACAAAUCUAAUUUAGUUAUUAAACUGGUCCUAAUAACUAGACUCACUUCUUCAUAACCUCAUUAUUUCAAAUGUUUAAAAUAAGCAUCAAAUCAACUGAACACUCAAAAGCCUAUCCCAAAAUAUGCCCACAGAUAUAAUUUCAAGUACUUUUUAAAUUCAUUUCAUUAGCUGUGAAGGUUUUAGAGAUUUCUGUCUUUACCAAAAACACAGUUUUAAAUAUCGCCCUCAUUUAUUGCUCAUGACUGUUGGUCACCAUCUUAGCCAAGUCUUUGAAAGUGGCUAGAUGUCUCUGUCAGGCUUUUUUAGGCAAUGGCAAGUGUCGUGUAUAACAAAGAAGUUAAAUAUCUUUCCUGUAAGUUUUGAUUACUUUACUUAUCAAAAGCUCUGAGGAUGAGGACUUCUCUAGCUUUGCAAUGUAAUUGGUGUAAUAUACAAAUAAUGUACUAACAUUAGAGGCUGGAGAUGUAUAGACUGAACUUUGACUGAGUAAUUUGGAUUACUUUAUUCCUUUCACUAGAUUUUAGUUCUAUGUGAGAUCAAUUAGUGAUUCUCCAUAAUGUGCAUUAAGCAUCACCUG
rnacentral:lncRNA from 1 species